rnacentral:rRNA from 1 species
GACGAACGCUGGCGGCGUGCCUAAUACAUGCAAGUUGAGCGAUGAAGAUUGGUGCUUGCACCAAUUUGAAGAGCAGCGAACGGGUGAGUAACGCGUGGGGAAUCUGCCUUUGAGCGGGGGACAACAUUUGGAAACGAAUGCUAAUACCGCAUAACAACUUUAAACAUAAGUUUUAAGUUUGAAAGAUGCAAUUGCAUCACUCAAAGAUGAUCCCGCGUUGUAUUAGCUAGUUGGUGAGGUAAAGGCUCACCAAGGCGAUGAUACAUAGCCGACCUGAGAGGGUGAUCGGCCACAGUGGGACUGAGACACGGCCCAAACUCCUACGGGAGGCAGCAGUAGGGAAUCUUCGGCAAUGGACGAAAGUCUGACCGAGCAACGCCGCGUGAGUGAAGAAGGUUUUCGGAUCGUAAAACUCUGUUGGUAGAGAAGAACGUUGGUGAGAGUGGAAAGCUCAUCAAGUGACGGUAACUACCCAGAAAGGGACGGCUAACUACGUG